CAAAAUGCAACCUAAACAUGUCUAAAUCCUAAUCUAUAUGAUGAAAAUGUUUAUGAAUGAAUGGAUAAAACAAUGUAAAUAUGCAAGAUAUCAACUCCCCCAAACUUGUUCUUUUACUUGUCCACAAGUGAACUUUCUAGAACUCAUAGGGAGAGAGGUUGAAGGAGGGAGCACAUAGCCAAAAGAAACACAACUAGCACACUCUCUUAUUACACUCUAGCUUCUCUAGGCCUAUCUUAACUCUUUUUGUUCUUACACUCAUCAUCAAGCAUCCACACAUUCAAAUCAACCAACUCUCACAUUCAUUAAGCACAAAACAUCAGGUGAAUUCUUGCAAAUGGUCAGUUGGUCCAAGUCAUUUGGUUGGGUAAGGGAAGGCUUUUAUUCAAGUGAUUCAAGAGGUUCAAAACAUAUGAUCUUUAAGGUGGUUUACUCUCAAAACAAGUAGCCUUGACAUUGCACAUAAUAUAUCUAAGAAAGGGACCAACUCAUGCAUACAAUGCUCAAUCUCCAUUGUUCUACCCUUUUCCCAAACAUAUCAUUACACAAUCAUUCCCAAAUGUCAAACCCAACUCACAUCUCUCACCAAAAGAUCUUAAGAACUUUAACUCUUUCUUUUUGAAAUCUACAAGGGAUUUUUCUACAACCUCAAAACAUUUCUUAGCUCCUAACAACUUUGCUAGCCCCCUUUUCUUUCUUUUCAUCUUUUUUUUUUUUUCUUUUCUCUUUUUUUUUUCGUUUUUUUUUUUUUUUUUUUUUUUUUUUUUUUUUUUUAGGCUGGGGGCCAAGACUUUUCAAAACUUGAGCUAGAGGCUUCUAUACUGGUCCCAAGAAAACAAUUCACUUAAGCACAAAGAGUAUAUUCUUUUCCUUUUUUCAUUUCUCCCAAAUCAUAAUCACAACACUCACCCCCACCUAUAGCUAGACAAUAGAGUGUCCAAUCUAGCAAGAAUGAAAAUCAAGCAUUGUCGUUCCCGAUACUCUCAACAUUAUGCACAUGUAAGACUUUCCGAAAAAGGCCUCACUCAUCAAACAAUGAAAGCUUAAAAGGAGGAAAAGGUUUUGGGAGUGGUCUACCACUAGAGUUUGUCAAAAAAAAAGAUUGGUAUAAAAGAUGUGACAACUCAAGUGUGUAUAGCCAUGACUCAGUACACAAGGGACCAUGAGCAAGAAGCAUUAAGUUCGUUCAGUUCAAAUAAGGUCGUAGUUGGCUUCAAAGACUGAGUUUCAGCAAUCAACAAGUUUCAGGAAAAGUUUUCAAGGCUCGAAACAUACAAGUCUUUUUGAGAGGUGCAAAAACUACUCAGGUGAAACGUAGUGUUCUUUACAAGGCAUUUAAAAUCAUUGCUCCCAAUGCAAGUGAAUGCAACCUAUAUGCUCUAGACUCUCCUAAAAAAUGCAAAUGAUGCAAACUAAAUGAUUGGUUUUUUUUUUUUUUUAUGCAAAUAGGUAUGCAAUGCAUGACUCAAUGAAACACAUCAAAGCAAACAUGAUCAAAUACUUGGUACCUCCCCCAAACUUGAGUUACACAGUCUCUGUGUUGUCAAGUAGAGAGAGAGAUACCGAAAAGAAGACUAAUAUGCAAAAAUAAAAUGGUAUAUACAAGGGAGUGUGGUGGGUUACCUUCUAUGGGAAAUGAGUAGAGGGAGAUGCUCCCUCCUCGUCGUCCUCAGGUGGUAACUCUUCAAGGUGCUCAUCAGCAGGAGUGCCCAUCUCUUCAAUGUAGAAGGCUUGCCCGAACACAGUUGGUUUCCUCAUUUUCCUCUUGAUGUCAAAAUGGAGGAUGUUCUCUUUACCCAAAUGGAGAUCAAUCGUGCCCUCCUUCACAUUAACAAUAGCUCCUGCUGUAGCUAAGAAUGGCCUUCCUAGAAUCAAUGGAUCUUGAGCCUCCUCACCCAUCUCAAGCACCACAAAAUCUGUAGGUAUCUCAUACCUUCCAAUCUUCACAGGGAGGUCCUCUAAGAUGCCCACAGGGUACUUCACUGAACGAUCAGCUAACACCAGAGAGAGUCUACAUUUCUUGUACUGAGUGAAUCCAAGCUUCUUUGCAACAGACAAAGGCAUCAAGCUGACACUAGCUCCCAAAUCGCAGAGACAUUUCUCAAAUACCAUAGGUCCAAGAGCACAAGGUAGUGUGAAGCUUCCUGGAUCCUCUAACUUCUCGGGAACAUCCAGCCUCCGGAUGAUGGCACUGCACUCAUGGGUAAGAAUCAUCAUGCCUUCCAUCUCCUUCUUCUUUGCAGCUACAGCAUCUUUCAAGAACUUGCUGUAUUGAGGAGUCAACAUGAAAGCAUCGAUGAUGGGCAUUGCAACCUGAGCUUCACUCAUUUGCUUCUCAAACAGAGCUUUAUAUUUCUCUAGCAGCUGCUUCUUGAAUCUACCAGGGAAUGGAAGUUUGGGUUCAUAUGGAGGAGGAACAAAAGAACUUUCACUUGCUGGAGUAACAACUUCACCAUCCUUUACUGUCUUCUUCUCUUCCCCAACCUUUCCUUUACCUUUGGCUUCCACUAUCUUCUCCAAGAUCUCGUCAUUGAUCUUCUCAUCAACAAUCACCACUUCAUCAUCUAUGUUGAUGGCAACCCCCUCACCUAGUUUCUCAGCAUCCUUGGUGAGGGUUCUAGGAGGUAACUGCUUACCACUCCUAAGGGUGAUAGCUUUGGCCUCCUUGGGAUUUUGGUCAGACUUUCCAGGUAGAGAUCCUUGCUGGCGAUUCUGGUGAGUGUUCAUGGAAGCAAAUUGAUUCUCUAAAUUCCUGACUGUAGAAGCAAGGUGUGAGAAUUUGUUGUUGAGCUCAUUGUAGCUCCCAUCAAUCUUGGUAUGAAGGUUCUUCAACUCAUAACCAAUAUGCUUCUCACUUCUAGUCUGAGACUCCAAGAUUUGCUUCAGUAAGGUAUCAGUGCUGCUCUCUUGAGGAGCAGAGGAACCAGACGAGGGGUUUUGCUGAGGCUGAUAGCUGCCUUGCUGGUUGUUUCUUGGCGGAUAGCCACUCUGUUGGUUGUUUGGAUAGGAUUUCUGUUGGUAGUUGUUGUACUGAAAGUUGGGCUCCUUUUUGUACCAGCUACCAUUGUUGUUGAUGAAACACAACUCCUCUUGACCUUCCAAACCCUCAACCUCAUUGACAGCAAGUGGAUCUUCCUGCUUGGAGUUACCAACAAACUUCAGCUGCUCUUGGGUUGCUUUUUCAGCAAUGAGUAGGUCGAUCUUGUCUUCCAAAGCUUUGAUCUCUUUCCUCGUCUGCUUAUCAUCUGUUCUACUGCCUCUGUCGUGGUCUCCACUGUAGACUGCAUCACUCUUUACCAUGUUGUCAACCAGUUCUUCUGCAUCCUCCUCAGUUCUCCCCAAGAAGAACUCAUUGCUAGCUGUAUCCAGUCUGGCUCUGUACUUAGGAAGAGCACCACGGUAGAAUGUGCUCAGCAAGCUCUCCUUAGAAAAGCCAUGGUGUGGGCAUUGAGCUUGGUAGCCCUUGAAUCUCUCCCAGGCUUCACUGAAGCCUUCCAAGUUCUUCUGUUGAAAGCUGGAAAUCUCGUUUCUCAGCUUAGCAGUUCUUGAAGUAGAGAAGAACUUCUCCAAGAAUGCUUUCUUGCAGUCAUCCCAAGUAGUGAUGGAGUCACUGGGUAGAGACUUCUCCCACUGACGUGCCUUAUCCCCCAAAGAGAAAGGGAAUAGCUUGAGCUUUAAGGCAUCUUCGGACACACCAUUGGUUUUUGACAACCCACAGUAGCUGUCGAACCUGUCCAAGUGAUCAAAUGGAUCCUCUAGAGCCAAGCCAUGAUACUUGUUGUUCUCAAUCACGUUGAGGAGUCCUGACUUGAUCUCGAAGUUGUUGGCUGCCACAGCGGGUGCUCGGAUUCCCAAUCUAUGACCAUGAAUGUUGGGGCGGUCGUAAGUGCCAAUGGGUCGAGCUGCUCGCUGUUGGUUUUGAGGUAUGUCUCCCAUAUCAGUACUCAAUCUCUGCAAGUGAGCCUGUUGCUCUUCUUCUCUUCUAUUUCUAGCACACUCUCUCUCUAAAGCUCUGAUGUCUGCAGCUAUUGGAACUAGGUUUGAUGGACCCCUGCUCCUCAAGUUCAUACACCUGUAGAUUAAAGGGAGGUGAAGAAAGAGAAUCAGUAACAAAAGAAAAUAAAAAUGACUUAGUCUCAAGCAAGUGACUAAAUCUCAAUGUUCAAAUCUACUCAGAAUUUGGCAACGGCGCCAAUUUGAUGUUAGGAGUUUUCAAGGCUCCUAAGACAAAUGUUGUAGUAUAGAUGAUUGUCGAACCAGUUCUGAGGGAUAUCAAAGCACUGAGAAUGCAAGUACUCACUUAAUCUAAGUGCAACCAAUGAUUUAGAAGGGUUUUAAACUAUGACUAAAACUAGAAAGCAAUAACAGAAUGAUACUUUCUUGACUAAAGGAAAAGAGAACUCAUGGGUAUAGGGAUUAGACCUUGGGUGAUCAAGUAUCGAACUAAGGAUGGCAAAUGAUCAAUCAAACUAUCAACCUUAAGCCUAGACACAAUUCUAAGCAAGCUCUAUGUCUAGAUGAAUGCUCAUUUGCUAACAUAUCUCAAACAUCAAAUGUCUUUGGUUGAAUAAUAUGAAAGCAAUCAUUACUAACAAGUCUAUUAGCUAUCUUAGCAUCUUUAACAACAAAUGUCUUUGGCAAAGUAUACUAAAAGCCUAGGAGAGUUGUCUCGGGCAUUUCAUCGAACACCUUUCGGGUGAGAAAUGCCUAAAGAUCAACAACUGAGUGGCCAACUCAGAAGAUGCAUUAUGAUUACUCUACUAGCAAGGAAAUAUGAAUGAUCUACACUAAAACAUCCUAGCUCUAACCUAAUCACCCUUAAUCUCCCUAACCCAUGAAUUCAAAAGGUGAUUACUCACUAAUCUCCAUGAUUCCUCUUAAACCCAUAUUGGAUUUCAGAUUAACCAUGUAGAGAAAUAGAUAAGAAAUCAACAAGAACACAAGAACAUAACAAAUCAAAACCCAAGAGAUGAACUUCUCAAGAGAGUUCUUGUGUCUUUCUCAAUAGAUCAAAGAUAAAAGAUAAUCUGCCUCUGGUGGCUACAAAAGAUGUUUAAAACAUAGGUUUUUCCAAGUGCAAAACGUCCAAAAUAAAUUGCAAAAAGGUCCUUAAGAAAUCAUGAUUUUCGGCAGCAAAAUAACGCGGAGCGACUUGCAGGUGUCGCUCCGGGAAGUCGCUCCAGGGCCGAUUUUUGGUGUCUCCAGGCGAGAGGUCGCGAGCGACUUUGGUGUGUCGCUCCAACGGGUCGCUCUGGAUCGGGAGCGACCUUGGUAGGUCGCUCUGAGAGGUCGCUCCGGGCUUCGCUUCUUGUCGUCUUGCCAUAGAGACGCGAGCGACCUCGGGGUGUCGCUUUGGGAGGUCGCUCCGAGAGGGGUGUGAGAUGCGAGCGACUGCACGGGGUCGCUCUAGCUAGGUCGCUCUGAGAGGUGCUUUGGAGCGACCUCAUGACGUCGCUGCGGAACCUCGCUCCCAUGCUCUGCUCGUCCAAUGAUCACCUGUUUCACGUCCUUUAAGCUCCAAAUGCAUCCAAAUGUCUCCAGAAACUCCAUGUGGUACUCAAAUACCUGAUAGAGACAUAUGUAUGCAAAAUGCAACCUAAACAUGUCUAAAUCCUAAUCUAUAUGAUGAAAAUGUUUAUGAAUGAAUGGAUAAAACAAUGUAAAUAUGCAAGAUAUCAUAUAUUAAAUAAAUUUAAAAUAUUUUAAAGAUUCAAAAAAAAAAAAAAAUCUAAGGAUUCUAUUUCGGCUAACACCAUUGGACCUACAUUAAUACUUAGAGUUCUUAACUAUUUAAAAAAAAAAUAUAUAUUAUUUUAAUGCUAAGAAUUCUAAUGGUGAUAUGAUAUGAUGCACCGGGACGGAUACGGGGACAGAUACGGGUACGGAAGCGGGGACGGGAAACGGCAAAACUAAAAAAUUAGGGGUACGGGUACGGCAAAUAUAUAUCAAUAAAAAUAUAUAUAUGUAUAUUUAUAUACUGAAAAAUAAAAAUAUAUCACUGUAAAUCUUAUCUAAUAAACUAAAAAGAUUAGAAAGUAGGUUAUAAAUUCAAAAUCUAGUAUAAACUUCUACUUUUUAUGUUUUAUUUGGAAGAAAAAUAAGUGAAUAAGCUUAAGAAGGGAUAAUAGCAAAGCAAAUAUAUUCUGAAAAUUUUCAUAAUUAACUGUUCGGUCUUCAAAGUGUCCCCGUACCGUCCCCGAAGUGUCCCCGUCCCGGAAACGUCUCCGGUACGGAUACGUCAAUCAAUUUGACGUCCCCGUC
rnacentral:lncRNA from 1 species